AGGGGGUCGCGUGAAACUUACAUCGUGACGAGAAAGCGAUCGGCAACCUCCAACGCCAACAGUUGAGCUUUUCGCAAAACCACGUGCUUCAGCUGGCAGCGAUCGGCAACUUCCAACGCCAACAAUAGAGCCGUUCGCAAAACCGCAUGCAUCAGCUGGUGCAAAGCAGAACCAAUUUUGCCCGGAGAGCAUCCAAAUUCCUCUACUGCCACCGUGUGCAUUCCGGCAAACGAAAAGUGAUCACUUUUGGGGUGAAAACGAAGACCACUUUGCGAAGAGCACCGCCUAUGCGACGGACUACCUGGCCGCGAGCAGCGACUAAAGCGCGAACGAAAGCGACAGACCUUUCUCAACAUCAGCAGAUAAAAGAAAACCCCUUAUAGGGGUUUUCUUGUUUAUUGCAGUUUCGUAGCAGUCAGGAUACUCAACAUUCGAUUCGUGGCGUUUGCAUGCGAGGCGUGAGUGCGAGUCUGCACUGGUUUUAGUACCCGGCAGGAUUUCUUCCGGAGGAGAGGCACGGGCACGCAUCGUAGCCGAGAUUGGUGACUAAAUCGACAAAGGAACGAGCACCGGAGCAGCGAUGACGACACUGGUGCUGACGGGAUCUAGCGCCCACUGGACGGACGUGUAGUCAGGAGCUUGUUGCGAAGACGCAUCAUGACCGCAGUGGCGUGGCAAGUUUUGAGAUGGGGCGCCCCGAUAGGUACCGUGAGUAGAAACCUAAGAGAAAUGUUUAGCAUGUAAGAUUGAUCUCACGAGAACAGGAAAGCAGGGAAGGAAGAGUAGGGAAGAUUCCAGAAUGGAAAAAU